UACGGAGGGUGCAAGCGUUAUCCGGAUUCACUGGGUUUAAAGGGUGCGUAGGAGGGCAGGUAAGUCAGUGGUGAAAUCUCCAAGCUUAACUUGGAACUGCCGUUGAUACUAUCUGUCUUGAAUACCGUGGAGGUGAGCGGAAUAUGUCAUGUAGCGGUGAAAUGCUUAGAUAUGACAUAGAACACCAAUUGCGAAGGCAGCUGGCUACACAAAUAUUGACACUGAGGCACGAAAGCGUGGGGAUCAA
rnacentral:rRNA from 1 species